rnacentral:hammerhead_ribozyme from 1 species
AUUCAAAUGACGAGUCCUUAAUAGGACUAAAUGCACAUCUUGGAU